AUGUCAUCACCAGCGAGAGUAAGAAGUAUUGGCAGCAGCAAGCAGGCGGGCAGGCUGGGAUCUUGCACGGAAAUCAUGAACCCGGUCUUGCUUUCCGUUUUUUGAAACGUUUUGGAAGGAGAGUUAUGAAUAGCCCAGAAAUAGGUCUCAUUUUUGUGGGUAGGAAGAAUGACCAGAAGCAUGAAAGCUAAAUCUCCUGGCGAGUGCAGGGGACCACUCUUGGAGUGUGCAGUAAACCUGCGGAGGGGAAGACUUCAGCUGCUGUGAACUCCUGAACCAUCACAUCUGGAGUGAAGGGGCUGGUGAAGCCUUGUCAUAAACGCAAAGGAUGCUGCUGAGAGCUUUGAUCUGCCUUUAACUCAUUGUGGCAAAGUUGGACAUCCCAAAGAUGGCGUAGAUGAACAUGACCAGGAAAAGCAGGAGGCCGAUGUUGAACAGCGCAGGAAGGGACAUCAUCAGAGCAAAGAGCAGCGUGCGGAUCCCCUUGGCGCCUUUGAUCAGGCGUAGGAUUCGUCCAAUCCUGGCCAGGCGGAUGACUCGGAACAGGAUGCUACUCCCAGUCUUCACUGAGAAACUGCUCUUGCCAGUGAAAGGCAGUGAAUGAAGAAGUGCCUGGCUGCUCAAGACUUUGAGAGUGACAUGUGUGUGCUCAACUCAGGAGGACAUUCAUCUCUUUCUCCAGGGCUCUAGGAACAAAGCUACAGUGGUGACAGGAAGAGUGUAAGAGCCCAGGACACCGGGAUGGGAGCUCUGAAGCUCUGUGCUGUACCAAGGACACAAUCGAUGCUAUCACCGCAUCAUGACAACAGAGGUCAGCAGUGGGUUUGUGCAAGACUGAGCAGGUCAGCAUUCAUUCAUUCAUAUAGAGAGAGGGCCCCUGCAGUCACAUCUUCACUGCUGAAUUAUGAGCUACUGAUGGAUUGUGGGAGGAACAAACAUUCUCUUUAGCCUUGUGCCCACUUCUGAGUUCACCAGGUUAAAGUGAGUAGUAGCUAAUCCAUGGACAUAAAUGGCCCUGAUUAAACGUAGUGGGUUAGG